rnacentral:rRNA from 1 species
UGAGUAACGCGUGGAUAAUCUACCCUUAAGAUGAGGAUAACGGCUGGAAACGGUCGCUAAUACCGAAUACGCUCCCGAUUUUAUCGUUGGGGGGAAAGAUGGCCUCUGCUUGCAAGCUAUCGCUUAAGGAUGGGUCCGCGUCCCAUUAGCUAGUUGGCGGGGUAACGGCCCACCAAGGCAACGAUGGGUAGCCGGUCUGAGAGGAUGACCGGCCACACUGGAACUGGAACACGGCCCAG